UUGACUGCCGGUGACAAACCGGAGGAAGGUGGGGAUGACGUCAAAUCAUCAUGCCCCUUAUGAUUUGGGCUACACACGUGCUACAAUGGACAAUACAAAGGGCAGCGAAACCGCGAGGUCAAGCAAAUCCCAUAAAGUUGUUCUCAGUUCGGAUUGUAGUCUGCAACUCGACUACAUGAAGCUGGAAUCGCUAGUAAUCGUAGAUCAGCAUGCUACGGUGAAUACGUUCCCGGGUCUUGUACACACCGCCCGUCACACCACGAGAGUUUGUAACACCCGAAGCCGGUGGAGUAACCUUUUAGGAGCUAGCCGUCGAAGGUGGGACAAAUGAUUGGGGUGAAGUCGUAACAAGGUAGCCGUAUCGGAAGGUGCGGCUGGAUCACCUCCUUU
rnacentral:rRNA from 1 species